rnacentral:rRNA from 1 species
AACGAACGCUGGCGGCAUGCCUAACACAUGCAAGUCGAACGAGACCUUCGGGUCUAGUGGCGCACGGGUGCGUAACGCGUGGGAACCUGCCCUUAGGUUCGGAAUAACUCCCCGAAAGGGGUGCUAAUACCGGAUAAUGUCUUCGGACCAAAGAUUUAUCGCCUUUGGAUGGGCCCGCGUUGGAUUAGCUAGUUGGUAGGGUAAAAGCCUACCAAGGCGACGAUCCAUAGCUGGUCUGAGAGGAUGAUCAGCCACACUGGGACUGAGACACGGCCCAGACUCCUACGGGAGGCAGCAGUGGGGAAUAUUGGACAAUGGGCGAAAGCCUGAUCCAGCAAUGCCGCGUGAGUGAUGAAGGCCUUAGGGUUGUAAAGCUAUUUUACCCGGGAUGAUAAUGACAGUACCGGGAGAAUAAGCACCGGCUAACUCCGUG